rnacentral:rRNA from 1 species
GAUGAACGCUGGCGGCGUGCCUAACACAUGCAAGUCGAACGGAGUCCAGCCUUUAAGACCUUCGGGUCAAAGAGGGGAAGACUGAGUGGCGAACGGGUGAGUAACACGUGGGCAACCUGGCUCAUAGAGGGGGAUAACAGAGAGAAAUUUCUGCUAAUACCGCAUAAGCACACACUGCCGCAUGGCAGAGGGUGAAAAGAGAAUCGCUAUGAGAUGGACCCGCGUCUGAUUAGCCAGUUGGCAGGGUAAGAGCCUACCAAAGCGACGAUCAGUAGCCGAUCUGAGAGGAUGAACGGCCACAUUGGGACUGAGACACGGCCCAAACUCCUACGGGAGGCAGCAGUGGGGGAUAUUGCACAAUGGGGGGAACCCUGAUGCAGCGACGCCGCGUGAGUGAAGAAGUAUUUCGGUAUGUAAAGCUCUAUCAGCAGGGAAGAUAAUGACAGUACCUGAAUAAGAAGCCCCGGCUAACUACGUG